GCCGAACGCUGGCGGCGUGCCUAAUACAUGCAAGUCGAACGCACAGUUUAUACCGUAGCUUGCUACACCAUAGACUGUGAGUUGCGAACGGGUGAGUAACGCGUAGGUAACCUGCCUGGUAGCGGGGGAUAACUAUUGGAAACGAUAGCUAAUACCGCAUAAUAUUAAUUAUUGCAUGAUAAUUAAUUGAAAGGUGCAAUUGCACCACUACCAGAUGGACCUGCGUUGUAUUAGCUAGUAGGUGAGGUAACGGCUCACCUAGGCGACGAUACAUAGCCGACCUGAGAGGGUGAUCGGCCACACUGGGACUGAGACACGGCCCAGACUCCUACGGGAGGCAGCAGUAGGGAAUCUUCGGCAAUGGACGAAAGUCUGACCGAGCAACGCCGCGUGAGUGAAGAAGGUUUUCGGAUCGUAAAGCUCUGUUGUAAGAGAAGAACGGGUGUGAGAGUGGAAAGUUCACACUGUGACGGUAUCUUACCAGAAAGGGACGGCUAACUACGUG
rnacentral:rRNA from 1 species